rnacentral:rRNA from 1 species
AAAUAUUUUUCCUGCCACCGAAUACAUUAGCAUGGGAUAAUGGAAUAGGACCCUGACCUCCUAUUUUCAGUUGGUUUUGUUUACAGCGAGGUUAUAUCAGGGUAAUGAUUAAUAGGGAUAGUUGGGGGCAUUAAUAUUUAAUUGUCAGAGGUGAAAUUCUUGGAUUUAUGAAAGAUUAACUUCUGCGAAAGCGUUUGCCAAGGAUGUUUUCAUUAAUCAAGAACGAAAGUUAGGGGAUCGAAGACGAUCAGAUACCGUCGUAGUCUUAACCAUAAACGAUGCCGACCAGCGAUUAGGAGACGUUGAAUACAAAACACCGCUGUUAAUCCUUUCGGGGGUUAAUAGUUGGUGAAUGACUCCCUAGCAGCUUGUGAGAA